rnacentral:rRNA from 1 species
AUUGAACGCUGGCGGCAGGCCUAACACAUGCAAGUCGAGCGGAUGAGUGGAGCUUGCUCCAUGAUUCAGCGGCGGACGGGUGAGUAAUGCCUAGGAAUCUGCCUGGUAGUGGGGGACAACGUUUCGAAAGGAACGCUAAUACCGCAUACGUCCUACGGGAGAAAGUGGGGGAUCUUCGGACCUCACGCUAUCAGAUGAGCCUAGGUCGGAUUAGCUAGUUGGUGAGGUAAAGGCUCACCAAGGCGACGAUCCGUAACUGGUCUGAGAGGAUGAUCAGUCACACUGGAACUGAGACACGGUCCAGACUCCUACGGGAGGCAGCAGUGGGGAAUAUUGGACAAUGGGCGAAAGCCUGAUCCAGCCAUGCCGCGUGUGUGAAGAAGGUCUUCGGAUUGUAAAGCACUUUAAGUUGGGAGGAAGGGCAGUAAGUUAAUACCUUGCUGUUUUGACGUUACCAACAGAAUAAGCACCGGCUAACUUCGUGCCAGCCGCCGCCGUAACAC